rnacentral:lncRNA from 1 species
UGUUCAGCCCGGGGCUGGAGCCGAGACCCGGGGCUCCCGGCGGUGGCACUGGCCUGGGGUCGGGACCAGGAGAACUGAUAGUGCAUCAGCCGACCCAGAUAAUUUAAAAUAUUCUUCAUCCAGAGAUAGAGGUGGUUCUUCCUCUUAUGGACUGCAACCUUCAAAUUCAGCUGUGGUGUCUCGGCAAAGGCACGAUGAUACCAGAGUCCACGCUGACAUACAGAAUGACGAAAAGGGUGGCUACAGUGUCAAUGGAGGAUCUGGGGAAAAUACUUAUGGUCGGAAGUCGUUGGGGCAAGAGCUGAGGGUUAACAAUGUGACCAGCCCUGAGUUCACCAGUGUUCAGCAUGGCAGUCGUGCUUUAGCCACCAAAGACAUGAGGAAAUCACAGGAGAGAUCGAUGUCUUAUUCUGAUGAGUCUCGACUGUCGAAUCUUCUUCGGAGGAUCACCCGGGAAGACGACAGAGACCGAAGAUUGGCUACUGUAAAGCAGUUGAAAGAAUUUAUUCAGCAACCAGAAAAUAAGCUGGUACUAGUUAAACAAUUGGAUAAUAUCUUGGCU